GGGCCCAUAGCUCAGCGGUAGAGCGCUCGCUUCGCAGGCGAGAGGUCGCGGGUUCGAAUCCCGCUGGGUCCA
rnacentral:tRNA from 1 species